rnacentral:rRNA from 1 species
GGGCUUAANUCCGUGCCAGCAGCCGCGGUAAUACGGAGGGGGGUUAGCGUNUUCGNAAUUACUGGGCGUAAAGCGUACGUAGGCGGAUAGUCAGUCAGAGGUGAAAUCCCAGGGCUCAACCCUGGAACUGCUUUGAUACUGCUAGUCUUGAGUUCGAGAGAGGUGAGUGGAAUUCCCAAGUGUAGAGGUGAAAUUCGUAGAUAUUUGGAGGAACACCAGUGGCGAAGGCGGCUCACUGGCUCGAUACUGACGCUGAGGUACGAAAGUGUGGGGAGCAAACAGGAUUAGAUACCCUGGUAGUCCACACCGUAAACGAUGAAUGCCAGUCGUCGGGUUGCUUAGCGAUUCGGUGACACACCUAACGGAUUAAGCAUUCCGCCUGGGGAGUACGGUCGCAAGAUUAAAACUCAAAGGAAUUGACGGGGGCCCGCACAAGUAGUGGAGCAUGUGGUUUAAUUCGAAGAUACGCGCAGAACCUUACCAACACUUGACAUGUUCGUCGCGACUCUAAGAGAUUAGAGUUUUCGGUUCGGCCGGACGAAACACAGGUGCUGCAUGGCUGUCGUCAGCUCGUGUCGUGAGAUGUUGGGUUAAGUCCCGCAACGAGCGCAACCCUCACUUUUAGUUGCCAUCAUUAAGUUGGGCACUCUGAAAGAACUGCCAGUGAUAAGCUGGAGGAAGGUGGGGAUGACGUCAAGUCCUCAUGGCCCUUACGUGUUGGGCUACACACGUGCUACAAUGGUAUCUACAACAGGAAGCAAAACGGCAACGUUAAGCAAAUCCCGAAAAGAUACCUCAGUUCGGAUUGCACUCUGCAACUCGAGUGCAUGAAGCUGGAAUUACUAGUAAUCGUGGAUCAGCGUGCCACGGUGAAUGCGUUCCCGGGUCUUGUACACACCGCCCGUCACACCAUGGGAGUUGGUUCUACCUUAAGGCAAGGUUUUAAACCCUUGACCACGGUAUAGUCAGCGACUGGGGUGAAGUCGUAACAAGGUAGCCGUA